CUGCGGGAAUAUCAAUAAUUGAUCAUUAGUAAACUUUGGUAGAUGGGAGAAAUGAAAAAUGAAAACUAGGGAAACUUUGUUUACUUACAAGAUUGGUGUUGAGGGUUUUCACGACUUAAUAGUGGGGAGGAGGUGGUGGAGAUGCGUAAAUGUAAACUGGGGGAAGUGCUUUCUCUGGUGGUGGGGGAGAUUUGUAGUAGUAUGGGGGAGGAGGAGAAGGUGAAGGAGGGGGAGGAGACUUGUAAUAGUAUGGCGGAGGAGGUGAUGGGGAUGGUGGUGGUGGAGACUUGUAGUAGUAUGGUGGAGGAGGUGACGGCGAUGGUGGUGGGGGAGAUUUGUAGUAGUAUGGAGGAGGAGGUGAUGGUGAUGGUGGUGGUGGAGAUUUGUAGUAGUAUGGUGGAGGAGGUGAUGGUGAUGGUGGUGGUGGAGACUUGUAGUAGUAUGGAGGUGGGGGAGAUGGGGAAGGUGGUGGUGGAGACUUGUAGUAGUAUGGUGGGGGAGGAGAGUAUACUGGAGGUGGAGGUGAUUUGUAGUAGUAUGGUGGAGGAGGAGAGUAGACGGGUGGAGGAGGUGACUUGUAGUAGUAAGGCGGGGGAGGAGAGUAGACUGGAGGAGGAGGUGAUUUGUAGUAGUAUGGUGGGGGUGGCGAGUAGACUGGAGGAGGAGGUGACUUGUAGUAGUAUGGUGGUGGAGGAGAGUAGACGGGUGGAGGUGGUGACUUGUAAUAGUAUGGUGGGGGUGGCGAGUAAACUGGAGGAGGAGGUGACUUGUAGUAGUAUGGUGGUGGAGGAGAGUAGACGGGUGGAGGUGGUGACUUGUAGUAGUAUGGUGGGGGAGGAGAGUAAACGGGUGGAGGUGGUGACUUGUAGUAGUAUGGUGGGGGAGGAGAGUAGACAGGUGGGGGUGGUGACUUGUAGUAGUAUGGUGGGGGAGGAGAGUAGACAGGUGGGGGUGGUGACUUGUAGUAGUAUGGUGGGGGAGGAGAGUAGACAGGUGGAGGUGGUGACUUGUAGUAGUAUGGUGGGGGAGGAGAGUAGACGGGUGGAGGUGGUGACUUGUAGUAGUAUGGUGGUGGUGGAGAGUAGACUGGAGGAGGAGGUGACUUGUAGUAAUAUGGUGGUGGAGGAGAGUAGACGGGUGGAGGAGGUGACUUGUAGUAGUAUGGUGGGGGAGGAGAGUAGACGGGUGGAGGUGGUGACUUGUAGUAGUAUGGUGGUGGUGGAGAGUAUACUGGAGGUGGUGGUGAUUUGUAGUAGUAUGGUGGAGGUGGAGAGUAUACUGGAGGUGGUGGUGACUUGUAGUAGUAUGGUGGAGGUGGAGAGUAUACUGGAGGAGGUGGUGAUUUGUAGUAGUAUGGUGGGGGAGGAGAGUACACUGGAGGUGGUGGUGAUUUGUAGUAGUAUGGUGGAGGUGGAGAGUAUACUGGAGGAGGUGGUGACUUGUAGUAGUAUGGUGGAGGAGGGGAAUAUACUGGAGGCGGUGGUGACUUGUAAUAGUACACAGGUGAAGGUGGGGGAGGUGACUUGUAGAUAGGUGAUGGAGGAGGUGGAGACUUGUAGUAGUAAGUUGGUGAUGGAGGAGGUGGGGACUUGUAGUAGUAAGUCGGGGACGGGGGAGGUGGCGACUUGUAGUAGUAAACAGGGGUAGGUGGAGGUGGGGACUUGUAGACGUAGGGAGGUGGGUAGUAAGGCUUAGGCUUCAUGCACUCCUUGUAAGGCUUCUUUGGAGCAUAUGCAAAAGGCUUAGCGUACAACACAACCUCAUACUUAGUCUUAGACUUGACCCUUAGCUUGGCGCCAACUUUGCCCCAGUGGAGGUUGGUUGGGAUGUUGCACAUUGAACCCUUGGGUGGUGCGUGGAGCUUAGCCUUGCAAGCCUUGCCUCCAUAUUUAGCAUAGUCAAAUCCUUUCACUUCAAUGCUAUAUUUACCAUUACUCUUUGUCUUUCCAUAUGCAACUACCUCUUUCUUUCCUGCCUUGCAACUCACUUCAACAACAGCUCCUACACAAAAUAAAAUUAAAAAAAAAAAGUUUAGAAAUUAGAAAAAUUAUACAAUUCAAGGUGAAUCCAUGGACACAUACAAAUUGAAUUAAAUUGUUAUUGAAUAAUGUAACAGACAGAAACAAUUUAAAAUACAACAAAAGUUUUUUGUAUCCAACAAGAAAAGGACAUCAUUUUAGCUUUUUACUGUAGGAUGCAAUUAUUCUAAUCUAGAAACUCUUGGCAUUCCUACUUUAAUAAAUUAACUUGUUUAGAUUCCAAAAAAAUUAAAAUAUUUAUUUGAAAUCACCAUUAUGAUCAGUUUUGAUGUGUAAUAAUUGAUGCAAUGAUAGCAUCCACAUGGACAACGGUGGUAUGCUUUUAUUCUAUUAUGGUGGGAGGGCAAAUUAGUAAAUAUGACUUCUUAAAUAUAUAUAUAUAUAAAUACAUUAUCCAAUUAAAGCCGGAAGAAAAGAAUCAUAUGGAAAAUGCUGUGUUUUUAGUAUUGUAAUCGAAUUAAGUCAUUUUCAAUUGCGAAAAGUAGUGCAUGGAUAGAAUUAUUAUCUAUUUUUGACUUGGUUUUUCAGGUACCCAUAUUUAGAAAAUCACAAUCCUAAUCAUGAAACUGACAUUAAAAUUAAAAAGACAGAGACAAAAAUUCUAAAUUAAAAGUUAAAAUUUGGGUUUGGAAGAAAAUAAUCAGAAUUUGAAUUUGAUGAAUAGUCAAUUUUAGAGGGAAAAUUUUUAUAUUGAAAAAUUACCUUUAAGGUGCUUCUUGUCGUGUGAUUUUUCAGGGUAGGCCCAAUCAUAGCAUCGGAUGCAGUAGACUUUUCCGACCACCUUAAAAACUAGGUGAUGGUGGUGUGGCGGGUAGUACGGUGGAGUGUAGGGCUUUGGAGGUGGAGAGUAGUAAACCGGUGGUGGUGGUGAUUUGUAGUAAGGUGGAGAGUAGGGAGGUGAGUAUGUUGGCGGUGGUGGAGAUUUGUAGUAAUAAACUGGUGGGGGUGAGUAAGUUGGUGGUGGUGGAGAUUUGUAGUAAUAGACUGGUGGGGGUGAGUAAGUUGGUGGUGGUGGUGAUUUGUAGUAGUAUGGUGGAGGAGGAGAUGGUGAUGGUGGGGGAGGGGACUUGUAGUAAUAUGGUGGAGGAGGUGAUGGAGAUGGGGGUGGUGGAGAUUUGUAGUAAUAUGGUGGAGGAGGAGAUGGCGAUGGUGGUGGAGGAGACUUGUAGUAAUAUGGUGGUGGUGGGGAUGGAGAAGGUGGUGGAGGAGAUUUGUAAUAAUAUGGUGGAGGAGGAGAGUAGACUGGAGGUGGGGGUGAUUUGUAGUAGUAUGGUGGUGGUGGGGAAGGAGAAGGUGGGGGUGGGGAUUUGUAGUAGUAUGGUGGAGGAGGUGAUGGUGAUGGUGGUGGGGGAGAUUUGUAGUAGUAUGGUGGAGGUGGUGAAGGAGAUGGUGGUGGUGGGGAUUUGUAGUAGUAUGGUGGAGGAGGUGAAGGUGAUGGUGGUGGUGGGGAUUUGUAGUAGUAUGGUGGAGGAGGUGAGGGUGAUGGUGGUGGUGGAGAUUUGUAGUAGUAUGGUGGAGGAGGUGAGGGUGAUGGUGGUGGAGGGGAUUUGUAGUAGUAUGGAGGAGGAGGUGACGGCGAUGGUGGUGGUGGAGAUUUGUAGUAGUAUGGAGGAGGAGGUGAAGGGGAUGGUGGUGGUGGAGAUUUGUAGUAGUAUGGAGGAGGAGGUGACGGGGAUGGUGGUGGUGGAGAUUUGUAGUAGUAUGGUGGAGGAGGUGAGGGUGAUGGUGGUGGUGGAGAUUUGUAGUAAUAUGGAGGAGGAGGUGAAGGAGAAGGUGGUGGUGGAGAUUUGUAGUAAUAUGGAGGAGGAGGUGAUGGGGAUGGUGGUGGAGGAGAUUUGUAGUAGUAUGGUGGAGGUGGUGAUGGUGAUGGUGGUGGGGGAGAUUUGUAGUAGUAUGGUGGAGGUGGUGAAGGAGAUGGUGGCGGAGGUGAUUUGUAAUAAUAGGGUGGAGGAGGGGAGGGUGAUGGUGGUGGUGGAGACUUGUAAUAGUAUGGUGGAGGAGGAGAGGGAGAAGGUGGUGGAGGAGAUUUGUACUCGUACACAGGAGGUGGAGGAGACUUAUACUCAG
rnacentral:lncRNA from 1 species